rnacentral:lncRNA from 1 species
GCCUUCAUGUUCGCCACUGGUGCCACAACUCGCCGGUGACUCAUCUUCAUGUUGUCGACGAUGACGCACCUUGUUGACGACUCGCACAUGAAACUCGUUAUGGCAAUGGCCUCCGCUCCAUGGCCACCACCUCCAUGCCGCCGGUGACACAACUUACCAGGUGACAUACCUUUCUUCAUCACUCGUGACGCAGCUCGACGAUGAUGAAGACACACACCAGCCGCUAGCAGCAUCACACCGCCAACGGUGUCCACCUUGCGCCGCCGACGCCCCCCUCACAUGGAGGCCGUCACGCAACCACACUGUGUCCGCCAUGGCAACCGCAACGCCGCGCACCUCCAUAGGCCGACACACGGUCCGAAGCUUCGCGCGGCCGCCGAUGAACGCCGCCCUCGCCGGCACGCCUCCGACAUGACGAACGACGCCCAAAACAACCAAGCUCAUGAUACCAAAUGUUGGCGCCGCCCUCGUUGCAGCGCCACUUGGUGUUCCUCGCAACCUCUCCUCUCAAGGUUUUCUCAAGAACAUAACACAUACACAUGUGAGAAACUCUACACACACGCACACAACCAGGGAGAAGACCAGCCAUUGCUUUGCACCAGAGGCACUUCUCCUUGGUGGAACAAGAGACUACAUUG